AUUUGCAGGACCAGCUUAAUCAAUACAUGGAUAAGAGGAUAAACGGAGAUUUAAUCCACCUGAUCCAAUAGCUAGGAUGAAGCUUGAGUUUCUCUUAGGAUUCUCUAGUUGUAGUAGAUACCCUCCUGGUCGCCAAAUUCUGGUUUGCAAGUGAUUAAGCCCGUGAGCUACCAAAUAAAGCAAGCGUAGAAUACAUUGGUUUAGAAAAUUAAUAUCUCCCAAACCAAAAUUGGUAUUGACUUGAAUCCAAUUCGCCAUGAGUCCCUGUUGAGUCAAGAUUGUAGAAAAAUUGUCUUUGUAGCUUAACUCCUUCUGGUCUGGUCGUAAUCCUCCAAUAAGUAGAUGUUGGUCUCCAUCGGGUUCAUUGGAAGUCUACUGACUUGUAGCUUGAAUAUCUUCAUCAUGUGGAAAGCUUUUGAACCAA